CCUCCCUUUGCAUCAGAAAUCGCCGCCGCCGCCGUUAAAGGAUCGGCGAGCGGUCGGUUCUAGCCUUCGUCUCCAGCGAAGCAGGCCUGUUGCCGCCUCUGAGGCCGACGCCGUCCCCUUCGUCUCCAGUCUCUCUUACUGAAACUCACCACGAAAUCCAGCCCUAGCUUCUCUCUGAACUCAGAUGGGAUGCCGCCGCUGCGGCCCUUCUCCGGCGAGACUGGCGUCCCGGCUGUUAGCGCCGCCAGCACACCUUCACCCCUAAAUCAAAAUUGAGCCCUAACUCUCCUUUUGGUUUAGGCGGGUUUGCCACCGCCGUUGCUAAAGGACCGGCUAGGCGGCGGUCCUCUCCUUCUCUCCCUUGUUCUCGAAAAUAGAUUCACGCUCAAGCCCUAGCCUUUUCUCAUCUCUCGGAAUUUAUCGCCGCCUCUGGCGGACGCCACCGCCCCUGAGCUUUUGACGAGGCUAUAGACGUCCUCCCCUCCUCCGUUCUUUCCGCUUUCGAACUCAAGGGAUGGGUCUUCUUUCGCCGUCUUCUGGAUUCCGGCAGAGAAGGGUAGGCCGUCGCUGCUGUCCUCCUCGGAGUCGACGGGCCUGACUCUUCACCUCGCCGUUGCUGCUUUACUCAUAUUCCGGCGAGGCAGCAAGGGCUCGUCGUCGUUCCCUCGGUUCGACUGAACAGGUACAUAGUCCCCUUCCAUUUUUCUUCUGUUCUAAGUUAACUUCUUAAAUCUGCGUGAAGUCUUGGUUCUAUAUACUAUAUGUGCAAGGGAUUAAUGGCGUUGUGGGGUUGCUACUGUGUUAGCAUCUAAUUUCUAGAGUCCAGCGGGAAUCAUAAACGCAUAGGACAUUCUACAAAACAUGGGUAAAUCUGUAUUACUGAAACGUGACUUUGCUAAGUCCAUUAUGCAUAUAUAUCUCAAUUCUUUAUUCUGACUUUCUAAAACAUAAGCAUACUUGUUGGUGUGAAACAUGUAACAUGAACUAGAGUAAAAUGAGAUUAGCAAUCACCUUGCGAAUGUUUGUGCUUUUGGGUUGGCUGCGUGAUGUUGAGUUCAAUGAGAAGAUAGCUGAAAACAGUAUUUUGUUUGCUUAACAAUGCAGGAGGAACUUAGGAGGAACUUAGGAAGAAACUGGAGAGGAUAGGUCAAUCUUACCUCUCGAAUCUUGCAGCAACUAUGACAACUUCCUCAAGUUGUUGAUGCGUAAAGAGAGAAGGAUUUGGUGGGUGAUAUUAUAAGGAGUGAAGUUGGUGGCUGUUACUCUCAUGGGUUUGAAAGAUGGUGCAGGCAGCAUAGGGUAUGGUGGAAUGACCACCUACUUGUACUAUGGUAUGGUCUUGGUUACAGGUGAAGGAAAGAAAAAAAGAGCUGCUACUUGCUUUUGUAUUAUGCAGAUUUUUCUUUUGAUUUUGUGUACAUACAUCAGUAUGGCUUAGCUGCAAAAGUGGCGCUGUAGAGGGAGGAAAGCAUGGCUUUUGGUGGCUACAAAAUCUUCUAUCUUGAUUGUGUAUAAUAUGUUG
rnacentral:lncRNA from 1 species